GAUGAACGCUGGCGGCGUGCCUAAUACAUGCAAGUCGAGCGAACGGACGAGAAGCUUGCUUCUCUGAUGUUAGCGGCGGACGGGUGAGUAACACGUGGAUAACCUACCUAUAAGACUGGGAUAACUUCGGGAAACCGGAGCUAAUACCGGAUAAUAUUUUGAACCGCAUGGUUCAAAAGUGAAAGACGGUCUUGCUGUCACUUAUAGAUGGAUCCGCGCUGCAUUAGCUAGUUGGUAAGGUAACGGCUUACCAAGGCAACGAUGCAUAGCCGACCUGAGAGGGUGAUCGGCCACACUGUAACUGAGACACGGUCCAGACUCCUACGGGAGGCAGCAGUAGGGAAUCUUCCGCAAUGGGCGAAAGCCUGACGGAGCAACGCCGCGUGAGUGAUGAAGGUCUUCGGAUCGUAAAACUCUGUUAUUAGGGAAGAACAUACGUGUAAGUAACUGUGCACAUCUUGACGGUACCUAAUCAGAAAGCCACGGCUAACUACGUG
rnacentral:rRNA from 1 species